GUGGUAGUAGCAAAUACUCAAGUGAGAUCCUUGAGGGCUGACGUGGAGAAGGGUUCCAUGUGAACAGCAAUUGCACAUGGGUGAGUCGUUCCUAAGCCAAAGGCGAAAGCCACACUCAUAAACUUGUGGCCACAUGAAUUUUUUAAGGGGAAUAUAUAUCAAUAAUGCCAGAAACAGCACCGAAUGGAUAGGCUAUCCUCAAGUGCUAGUGGAAGCAGAUAAUGAUUGAUCAAUCAUGCCAGAAACAGCACCGAAUGGAUAGGCUAUCCUCAAGUGCUAGUGGAAGCAGAUUGGAUUUCUCCCUAUUUUCGAGUGAGCCUGCAAGGAGUUUGGCGAAAGGGAAUCCGGUACUCAUUCCGGAACCUGGACAUGAGGAGUAGUGUUGCUUUAUGCAUCACAUAGCCGCAAGGCAUUUACCAUCCUGGAGAAUCCAACCAGAGAGCUGGGAAGAGUUGUCUUUUCUGCUUAAGGGGAAGAGGGCCUUGUGAACUGGGUCGGUCAGAGAGAGGGUCUUUUCCCCGAAUAGCACCGCGGUUCUUGCGGAGUCCAGCUCCUCUGGUAUGGAACUUGAAAAUCCAGGGGUAAGAUGAAAUACCUUCAUGCCAGUUCGUACCCAUA
rnacentral:rRNA from 1 species